AAAAUGGCCCUUUUCAGGGCCAACUCACAUGAAAGAGUAUACUUUA
rfam:Culex pipiens quinquefasciatus supercont3.485 genomic scaffold, whole genome shotgun sequence.